UACGAAGGGUGCAAGCGUUACUCGGAAUUACUGGGCGUAAAGCGUGCGUAGGUGGUUUGUUAAGUCUGUUGUGAAAGCCCCGGGCUCAACCUGGGAAUGGCAUUGGAAACUGGCGGACUAGAGUGUGGCAGAGGGGGGUGGAAUUCCGCGUGUAGCAGUGAAAUGCGUAGAUAUGCGGAGGAACACCGAUGGCGAAGGCAGCCCCCUGGGAUAACACUGACGCCUCAUGCACGAAAGCGUGGGGAGCAAACAGG
rnacentral:rRNA from 1 species